GUCCAUCUGACGAGUCCCAAAUAGGACGAAAUGCGCAUCCUGACUGGAU
rnacentral:hammerhead_ribozyme from 1 species